rnacentral:rRNA from 1 species
UACGAAGGGGGCGAGCGUUGUUCGGAUUUACUGGGCGUAAAGGGCGCGUAGGCGGCCUUGUCAGUCAGGCGUGAAAGCCCCGGGCUCAACCUGGGAACGGCGCUUGGGACGGCGAGGCUGGAGUUCGGGAGAGGAGAGUGGAAUUCCCAGUGUAGAGGUGAAAUUCGUAGAUAUUGGGAAGAACACCAGUGGCGAAGGCGGCUCUCUGGACCGACACUGACGCUGAGGCGCGAAAGCGUGGGGAGCAAACAGG